rnacentral:rRNA from 1 species
UACGUCGGGACCAAGCGUUGUUCGGAUUUACUGGGCGUAAAGGGCGCGUAGGCGGCGCGGUGAAGUCACUUGUGAAAUCUCUGAGCUUAACUCAGAACGGCCAAGUGAUACUGCAGUGCUAGAGUGUGGAAGGGGCAAUCGGAAUUCUUGGUGUAGCGGUGAAAUGCGUAGAUAUCAAGAGGAACACCUGAGGUGAAGACGGGUUGCUGGGCCAACACUGACGCUGAGGCGCGGAAAGCCAGGGGAGCAAACGGG